CGGCGUGUAGCGCAGCCUGGUAGCGCAUCUGCUUUGGGAGCAGGGGGUCGCGAGUUCGAAUCCCGCCGCUCCGACCA
rnacentral:tRNA from 1 species